rnacentral:rRNA from 1 species
UACGUAGGGGGCAAGCGUUGUCCGGAAUUAUUGGGCGUAAAGGGCGCGUAGGCGGUCGUGACAAGUCACUUGUGAAAUCUCCGGGCUUAACUCGGAACGGUCAAGUGAUACUGUCGGACUAGAGUACAGAAGGGGCAACUGGAAUUCUCGGUGUAGCGGUGAAAAUGCGUAGAUAUCGAGAGGAACACCUGCGGCGAAGGCGGGUUGCUGGGCUGAUACUGACGCUGAGGCGCGAAAGCCAGGGGGAGCGAACGGG